GGGGUUAUGGUCUUCGGAUUGUAACCGAGUGGCGGACGGUUGAGUAACACGUAAGUAACCUACCUGCAAGCGGGGAAUAACCUGUCGAAAGGCAGGCUAAUACCGCAUAUGAUAAUCGAGUGUUGCUUGAUUAUUAAAGCCUUAGGGUGCUUGGAGAUGGGCUUGCGUCUGAUUAGCUAGUUGGUGAGGUAAUGGCUCACCAAGGCGAUGAUCAGUAGCUGGUCUGAGAGGAUGGUCAGCCAGAUGGGGAUUGAGAUACGGCCCCAACUCCUACGGGAGGCAGCAGCAGGGGAUAUUGGGCAAUGGGCGAAAGCCUGACCCAGCGACACCGCGUGAGGGAGGAAGGCCUUCGGGUUGUAAACCUCUUUUCUCGAGGAAGAAUUUUGACGGUACUCGAGGAAUAAGCCUCGGCUAACUACGUGCCAGCAGCCGCGGUAAGACGUAGGAGGCGAACGUUAUCCGGAUUUACUGGGCGUAAAGAGAGCGUAGGCGGCUUUUUAAGUCAAGUGUGAAAUCUUGUGACUCAAUCAGAAGAAGCCGCUUGAUACUGGAUGGCUUGAGGGAAGCAGAAGGAAAUGGAAUUCCCAGUGUAGCGGUGAAAUGCGUUGAUAUUGGGAAGAACACCAGUGGCGAAGGCGAUUUCCUAGGCUUUUCCUGACGCUGAGGCUCGAAAGCGUGGGGAGCGAAGCGGAUUAGAUACCCGCGUAGUCCACGCCUUAAACGGUGGACAUUAGGUAUGGGGAGUAUCG
rnacentral:rRNA from 1 species